CCAAAAUUUUUUAUAAGUUGCUGGUUGCUACAGACAUAACUCAAUCUAACUCAGAGGGUACUCUGGUUUAACAACUUACAACGCACCUCAAAACUACCGGUAGUAGUUUUUCAAUCCCCGUAUGUCGUAGUUUGUUCAUACACAUUACACAUAUUACUACAUUCCUCUCCAAGCCAAAAGCGAAAAAGAAAUCUAUAAGUCUAGUCUUAAAUCUAUAAGUAAAGAGCAUCAAUGCCCCACAUGUGGCCGAGCGUCUAUGGGAGAGAUUUUCUCAAAUGGGCAUUCUGUUGGAGAUCUUAACAGAGAAGGGAACCAAGUUCAUGUCGAGUAUGCUGCCUGCAGGAACUCUACCGGAUGCUUGGAAUGAAGUCGAUCAUAGCCAGUCCCUAUCGUCCUCAGACAGACAGUUAGGUCGAGCGCGUUAACGGAACCCUCAAAGCAAGGCUACGACAGUCUAAGGACGGCGAUCGAGCCAACUGGGAUCAGUUGCUGCUUUCCUACUGUUUGCAUAUCGAGGUGGCAAAGGAGUUCACAGGAUUUUCUCCGUUCGAACUUCUAUUUGGAAGGAAGGUGAGAGGGCCUUUAGAUGUCAUGCAAGAACAAUAGGAGACCAAAAGAACAGCAAAUGAGGAGUGAUCUCGUAUGUAUGGAACAUGAGAGAGAGGAUGGCCUCACUGAGAAAAAUAGCGCAGGAAAGCUUGACUGUAGCUCAAGCAAAGCAGAAGUCUUGGUAUGACCAGAAAUCAAGGACUCUAUCAUUUGAGUAAGGUGAGCAAGUACUAGUACUGAUUCCGUCGACGACUUCAAAGCUACAAGUUGAGUGGCAGGGACCCUUUGUAGUGAAGCGGAGGGUACGUAUCAUCAGUGGAUUAUGAAAGAUCUAGAAAACACCCCUCUCUCUCGCUUGGGAUUGCAUGCAAACAAUGAUAGUCAAAUAUUUUGUGAUCUUUAGUGGCUUCCCUCGUCGAGGACGCGCACCUUUCUAGGAGCCUAAGACGGAGGAAGUUCUGAGAGAAGAAAGUUGCGCCCUAUUAGACAAAUAGCUUCUACAGUAUAUAGGCACAGAAUCGUGUUGUGUUCUCUAUAGAGGAAUGUAUUAUACAAUUGUAUUUCUCUAAUGCGGCGCCCUAUUAGAGAUAUACAUAUAUAAUAUAUGGCUAUUUCGUUGAAA